rnacentral:rRNA from 1 species
UGCCAGACUCUACGGGAGGCAGCAGUGGGGAAUAUUGGGCAAUGGGCGCAAGCCUGACCCAGCAACGCCGCGUGAAGGAAGAAGGCUUUCGGGUUGUAAACUUCUUUUAUGAGGGACGAAACAAAUGACGGUACCUCAUGAAUAAGCCACGGCUAACUACGUGCCAGCAGCCGCGGUAAUACGUAGGGAGCAAGCGUUGUCCGGAAUUACUGGGUGUAAAGGGAGCGUAGGCGGGGAUGCAAGUUGGGUGUCAAAACUACCGGCUCAACCGAUAGUCGCACUCAAAACUGCAGCUCUUGAGUGAAGUAGAGGCAGGCGGAAUUCCUAGUGUAGCGGUGAAAUGCGUAGAUAUUAGGAGGAACACCAGUGGCGAAGGCGGCCUGCUGGGCUUUUACUGACGCUGAGGCUCGAAAGUGUGGGGAGCAAACAGGAUUAGAUACCCCGGUA